UACGGAGGAUGCAAGCGUUAUCCGGAUUGAUUGGGCGUAAAGCGUCUGUAGGUGGUUACGCUAGUCGGCUGUUAAAGAUCAGGGCUGAACCCUGAGCAAGCAGUCGAAACUGCGUGGCUGGAGUACGGUAGGGGCAGAGGGAAUUCCCGGUGUAGCGGUGAAAUGCGUAGAUAUCGGGAAGAACACCAAAGGCGAAAGCGCUCUGCUGGGCCGAAACUGACACUGAGAGGCAGAAAGCUAGGGGAGACGAAUGGGAUUAGAUGAACCCCGGUAGCCAG
rnacentral:rRNA from 1 species